GGGGAGGUCGCCUAGCUGGCUUAGGGCGCACGCUUGGAAAGCGUGUGUACCGCAAGGUACCGCGGGUUCGAAUCCCGCCCUCUCCG
rnacentral:tRNA from 1 species